AGCGUACACGGUGGAUGCCCUGGCAGUCAGAGGCGAUGAAGGACGUGCUAAUCUGCGAUAAGCGUCGGUAAGGUGAUAUGAACCGUUAUAACCGGCGAUUUCCGAAUGGGGAAACCCAGUGUGUUUCGACACACUAUCAUUAACUGAAUCCAUAGGUUAAUGAGGCGAACCGGGGGAACUGAAACAUCUAAGUACCCCGAGGAAAAGAAAUCAACCGAGAUUCCCCCAGUAGCGGCGAGCGAACGGGGAGCAGCCCAGAGCCUGAAUCAGUGUGUGUGUUAGUGGAAGCGUCUGGAAAGGCGCGCGAUACAGGGUGACAGCCCCGUACACAAAAAUGCACAUGCUGUGAGCUCGAUGAGUAGGGCGGGACACGUGGUAUCCUGUCUGAAUAUGGGGGGACCAUCCUCCAAGGCUAAAUACUCCUGACUGACCGAUAGUGAACCAGUACCGUGAGGGAAAGGCGAAAAGAACCCCGGCGAGGGGAGUGAAAAAGAACCUGAAACCGUGUACGUACAAGCAGUGGGAGCACGCUUAGGCGUGUGACUGCGUACCUUUUGUAUAAUGGGUCAGCGACUUAUAUUCUGUAGCAAGGUUAACCGAAUAGGGGAGCCGAAGGGAAACCGAGUCUUAACUGGGCGUUAAGUUGCAGGGUAUAGACCCGAAACCCGGUGAUCUAGCCAUGGGCAGGUUGAAGGUUGGGUAACACUAACUGGAGGACCGAACCGACUAAUGUUGAAAAAUUAGCGGAUGACUUGUGGCUGGGGGUGAAAGGCCAAUCAAACCGGGAGAUAGCUGGUUCUCCCCGAAAGCUAUUUAGGUAGCGCCUCGUGAAUUCAUCUCCGGGGGUAGAGCACUGUUUCGGCAAGGGGGUCAUCCCGACUUACCAACCCGAUGCAAACUGCGAAUACCGGAGAAUGUUAUCACGGGAGACACACGGCGGGUGCUAACGUCCGUCGUGAAGAGGGAAACAACCCAGACCGCCAGCUAAGGUCCCAAAGUCAUGGUUAAGUGGGAAACGAUGUGGGAAGGCCCAGACAGCCAGGAUGUUGGCUUAGAAGCAGCCAUCAUUUAAAGAAAGCGUAAUAGCUCACUGGUCGAGUCGGCCUGCGCGGAAGAUGUAACGGGGCUAAACCAUGCACCGAAGCUGCGGCAGCGACGCUGAUGCGUUGUUGGGUAGGGGAGCGUUCUGUAAGCCUGCGAAGGUGUGCUGUGAGGCAUGCUGGAGGUAUCAGAAGUGCGAAUGCUGACAUAAGUAACGAUAAAGCGGGUGAAAAGCCCGCUCGCCGGAAGACCAAGGGUUCCUGUCCAACGUUAAUCGGGGCAGGGUGAGUCGACCCCUAAGGCGAGGCCGAAAGGCGUAGUCGAUGGGAAACAGGUUAAUAUUCCUGUACUUGGUGUUACUGCGAAGGGGGGACGGAGAAGGCUAUGUUGGCCGGGCGACGGUUGUCCCGGUUUAAGCGUGUAGGCUGGUUUUCCAGGCAAAUCCGGAAAAUCAAGGCUGAGGCGUGAUGACGAGGCACUACGGUGCUGAAGCAACAAAUGCCCUGCUUCCAGGAAAAGCCUCUAAGCAUCAGGUAACAUCAAAUCGUACCCCAAACCGACACAGGUGGUCAGGUAGAGAAUACCAAGGCGCUUGAGAGAACUCGGGUGAAGGAACUAGGCAAAAUGGUGCCGUAACUUCGGGAGAAGGCACGCUGAUAUGUAGGUGAAGCGACUUGCUCGUGGAGCUGAAAUCAGUCGAAGAUACCAGCUGGCUGCAACUGUUUAUUAAAAACACAGCACUGUGCAAACACGAAAGUGGACGUAUACGGUGUGACGCCUGCCCGGUGCCGGAAGGUUAAUUGAUGGGGUCAGCGCAAGCGAAGCUCUUGAUCGAAGCCCCGGUAAACGGCGGCCGUAACUAUAACGGUCCUAAGGUAGCGAAAUUCCUUGUCGGGUAAGUUCCGACCUGCACGAAUGGCGUAAUGAUGGCCAGGCUGUCUCCACCCGAGACUCAGUGAAAUUGAACUCGCUGUGAAGAUGCAGUGUACCCGCGGCAAGACGGAAAGACCCCGUGAACCUUUACUAUAGCUUGACACUGAACAUUGAGCCUUGAUGUGUAGGAUAGGUGGGAGGCUUAGAAGUGUGGACGCCAGUCUGCAUGGAGCCGACCUUGAAAUACCACCCUUUAAUGUUUGAUGUUCUAACGUUGACCCGUAAUCCGGGUUGCGGACAGUGUCUGGUGGGUAGUUUGACUGGGGCGGUCUCCUCCUAAAGAGUAACGGAGGAGCACGAAGGUUGGCUAAUCCUGGUCGGACAUCAGGAGGUUAGUGCAAUGGCAUAAGCCAGCUUGACUGCGAGCGUGACGGCGCGAGCAGGUGCGAAAGCAGGUCAUAGUGAUCCGGUGGUUCUGAAUGGAAGGGCCAUCGCUCAACGGAUAAAAGGUACUCCGGGGAUAACAGGCUGAUACCGCCCAAGAGUUCAUAUCGACGGCGGUGUUUGGCACCUCGAUGUCGGCUCAUCACAUCCUGGGGCUGAAGUAGGUCCCAAGGGUAUGGCUGUUCGCCAUUUAAAGUGGUACGCGAGCUGGGUUUAGAACGUCGUGAGACAGUUCGGUCCCUAUCUGCCGUGGGCGCUGGAGAACUGAGGGGGGCUGCUCCUAGUACGAGAGGACCGGAGUGGACGCAUCACUGGUGUUCGGGUUGUCAUGCCAAUGGCACUGCCCGGUAGCUAAAUGCGGAAGAGAUAAGUGCUGAAAGCAUCUAAGCACGAAACUUGCCCCGAGAUGAGUUCUCCCUGACUCCUUGA
rnacentral:rRNA from 1 species